CCUACGGGAGGCAGCAGUGAGGAAUAUUGGUCAAUGGACGAGAGUCUGAACCAGCCAAGUAGCGUGAAGGAUGACUGCCCUAUGGGUUGUAAACUUCUUUUAUCAAGGAAUAAAACGAGGCACGUGUGCCUUUUUGCAUGUACUUUAUGAAUAAGGAUCGGCUAACUCCGUGCCAGCAGCCGCGGUAAUACGGAGGAUCCGAGCGGUAUUCGGAUUUAUUGGGUUUAAAGGGAGCGUAGAGGGGUUGUUAAGUCAGGUGGGAAAGUUUGCGGCUUAAACGUAAAAGUGCAAUUGAUACUGGCAGCCUUGAGUACAGGUGAGGUAGGCGGAAUUCGUGGUGUAGCGGUGAAAUGCUUAGAUAUCACGAAGAACCCCGAUUGCGAAGGCAGCUUACUAAACUGUGACUGACAUUGAUGCUCGAAAGUGUGGGUAUCAAACAGGAUUAGAUACCCCAGUAGUC
rnacentral:rRNA from 1 species